GGUGGGACCUGUGGUGGCUUCAACCCCAAGAGAUGUCACCCAGCUCUGGUGGGACCAUGGAGGCUUCAACCCCAAGGGUUAUUUGUCACCCAACUCUGGUAGGACUGCGGUGGCUUCAGCCCCAAGUGGUGUCACCCAACGCUGGUGGGACCACGGUGGCUUCAACCCCAAGGGUUGUCACUCAACAUUAGUGGGUCUGUGGUGGCUUCAACCCCAAGAGAUGUCACCCAACUCUGGUGGGACCAUGGAGGCUUCAACCCCAAGGGUUAUUUGUCACCCAACACUGGUGGGACCUGUGGUGGCCUCAACCCCAAGUGGUGUCACCUCAAUGCUGGUUGGACCACGGGUUGGUCGUCACCCAGUGGUGGUGGGACUGUGGUGGCUUCAGUCUCAAGGGGUGUCCCUCAACACUGGUGGGACCAUGGAGGCUUCAACCCCUGAUGGGAUCGUGGUGGCCUCAACCCCAAGGGAUGUCACCCAAUGCUCGUGGGACUUUGGUGGCUUCAACCCCAAGGGUUGUCACUCAACAUUGGUGGGACUGUGGUGGCCUCAACCCCUGGUGGGACCUGUGGUGGCCUCAACCCCUGGUGGGACCUGUGGUGGCCUCAAACCCUGGUGGGACUGUGGUGGCCUCAACCCCAAGUGGUGUCACCCCAAUGCUGGUUGGACCACGGUGGCUUCAACCCCAAGGGUUGGUCGUCACCCAGUGGUGGUGGGACUGUGGUGGCUUCAAUCCCAAGGGUUAUUUGUCACCCAACUCUGGUGGGACUGUGGUGGCUUCAACCCCAAGGGUUGUCACUCAACCCUCAUGGGACCUGUGGGGGCUUCAACAACCCCGAGGGUUGGUUGUCACCCACCCCAAGGGCUCAUCAUCACCCAACACUGGUGGGACCGUGGUGGCCUCAACCCCAAGGGGUGUCACCCAAUGCUGGUGGGACUGGUUUUGAGAAUCUCCACCAUCCUGGGGCCCUCCAGCCAUUUUUUUUGGGAAUUUCCACCAUCUCCAGCCAUUUUUUUGGGGAAUCUCCACCAUCUCCAGCCAUUUUUUUUGGGAAUCUCCACCAUCCUGGGGGUCUUCCAGCCCUUUUUUUUUUUUUUUUUG
rnacentral:lncRNA from 1 species